UACGUAGGUGGCAAGCGUUGUCCGGAUUUAUUGGGUUUAAAGGGUGCGUAGGCGGCCUUAUAAGUCAGUGCUGAAAUAUCCCGGCUUAACCGGGAGGGUGGCAUUGAUACUGUAAGGCUUGAGUGUAGUCGAGGUAGGCGGAAUUGACGGUGUAGCGGUGAAAUGCUUAGAUAUCGUCAAGAACACCGAUAGUGUAGACAGCUUACUAGGCUACAACUGACGCUGAGGCACGAAAGUGUGGGGAUCAAACAGG
rnacentral:rRNA from 1 species